GGAGGCGGGGGGGGCGGCCGGGCCCGGGGGUGCGGGGCCGGGCCCGGGCCCGGGGCUGCUCGGCAAAGCGGGGCGGGCCCGGGGCUCCCCGCUUGCGCCCGGCGCGGUUCUGCGGCACCGGCUGCCGUCGGGCCCCCCCGCGGAACCCGCGCGUCCCGCCGACAGAGCGAAAGCGAGCGGUUCUCCUCCUCAGGGUGCUGAUGCCCUGCGAGCCUCGCCUGCCUCCGGACAGCACCCCCGGGAAGCCGAGCCAGCUGCGCAGGGAGGAAAAACCAAAACGCUUGGACCGAGUGUGGAACAGCUGUGGCCUGCUCGUUCACUGAGCUGAAGAGGAAACACAUCACUUCGUGGCAGCACCAGCUGAGCACUAGCAUGAAGUGGUGACCGAAGCACGACUGCAUCAUCACCCAGUCAACCGCCCCUGGAAGGUUAAUGUCUGUGGCAAGAAAAACGAUGUCUUCUCCCUGAA